rnacentral:miRNA from 1 species
UCAAAACUGAACCGAAAAUGCAAGACUCGCUUUAAUUGUUUUCCUUCAAUUUCUUUUUGUAUUAUUUGCUAUUAUAGAACUCGUGUUAUUUAUACUGUGCUAGAUCAAUACAUAUAAACACUGAAGGAAAAUAAUUAAAGCAAGUCUUGCAUUUUCGGGUCAGUUUUGA